UGACCGCACACUCGGAGGCUUAAAACGACACCACUUACACUCAUUUAUGAAAGAAUGCCUGAAAUAAAUGUGUUUAUGACUCUGAGGCUCUGAGCCCUCUUUCCAGAGGCCUCCUUUUAUGCCAGGAAAGACUCCAUCUUGGAAGCCUUGGAUGAGAAGCAGAAACAUCCCAACCAUCUGAUCUGGGGAAAACAAGCCCUUUGGAAGUCCAAAACACACCGAAGAAAAUGAUAUUGCUUUGAGGCCUCAGAGUGCCAGGAGUCACGCGUCUCCGCAGAAACCUGGACCUACAAAGAUGUCACCAUGCGACGCCUUGCU